UACGGAGGAUGCAAGCGUUAUCCGGAAUUAUUGGGCGUAAAGCGUCCGCAGGUGGCACCUCAAGUCUGCUGUCAAAGACCGGGGCUUAACCCCAGAAAGGCAGUGGAAACUGAAGUGCUAGAGUGCAGUAGGGGUAGAGGGAAUUCCCGGUGUAGCGGUGAAAUGCGUAGAUAUCUGGAGGAACACCGGUGGCGAAGGCGGCAUCCCGGACCAACACUGACGCUGAGUGAGCGAAAGCCAGGGGAGCAAACGGG
rnacentral:rRNA from 1 species